rnacentral:rRNA from 1 species
UACGAAGGGGGCUAGCGUUGCUCGGAAUUACUGGGCGUAAAGCGCACGUAGGCGGCUUCUUAAGUCGGUGGUGAAAUCCUGGAGCUCAACUCCAGAACUGCCUUCGAUACUGGGAGCUCGAGUCCGGGAGAGGUGAGUGGAACUGCGAGUGUAGAGGUGAAAUUCGUAGAUAUUCGCAAGAACACCAGUGGCGAAGGCGGCUCACUGGCCCGGUACGUGACGCUGAGGUGCGAAAGCGUGGGGAGCAAACAGG